rnacentral:rRNA from 1 species
UACAGAGGGUGCGAGCGUUGUCCGGAAUCACUGGGCGUAAAGGGCGCGUAGGCGGCUCGGUAAGCGUGCGGUGAAAGCCCGGGGCUCAACCCUGGGCCUGCAUUCGAUACGGGCAGACUAGAGUUCGGUAGGGGAGACUGGAAUUCCUGGUGUAGCGGUGAAAUGCGCAGAUAUCAGGAGGAACACCGGUGGCGAAGGCGGGUCUCUGGGCCGAAACUGACGCUGAGGAGCGAAAGCGUGGGGAGCAAACAGG